GACAGUUAUUGUUCCCUUUUUGUUGCUAUGUUCGUAUGAAACCAGAGGAGAAAAGAAAAGGGAGAGAAGAUGAAGAAGAAGAAGAAGAAGAAGAAAAGCGAAGAAGGAAGGGAAGAGAGUUGUGGAUUGAGGUUGCUGCACCUAAGAUGACAGAGCUUGAGCUGGAGUGGAUCGAGAGACUCGGCCAGGGUUGUGAGGUUGUGCCUGUGUGACAUCAUAUGGAGGACUGGGAUUUCCUUUACUUUUAAGAUUUUAUUAUUAUGCUCGUAAGGUGUAUUUAAUUAUGGUAAUUGUGUGUUGUGAACAAAUUGGGUCUAUAAUAAUUAUUUAUCACUUAGAUUUGAUCA